CUGGAGCUUUGUUUAUAUUAACUUUCUUUAGUUGCUGCAGCACCUUGUCUUGACUUAACCAAUUACAAUUAUUCUGCAAGUUUUUAGUAACUUCUGUAGUAGUUUUUAGUGUACCUACACUUUCCUUUUUGGGUUUUUUAGAAUUUAUGUACUUAAAAAUUGCUUUGGGGUUGGUUUUGCUCUCUUUAGCUAUCAUUUUUAAGUAAGUCUAAUUGCCUUUUUGCACGCAUUAUUUGCUUCCUUAUAUCUUUUAUAGGAUGCAUCUGAUUUGUCCGAUUUAAAUGCUUUAAAUUUCCUUUUCUUAUUUGUAAUCUCUUGUUUUACUUCUCUACUAAGCCACGUUGGUUUUAAUUUGUUUCUUUUAUAUUUAUUACCCAAUGGUACAUACUGAGAAAUGUACCUUUCU